CAACGAAUGCCUCCUACCCAGAAGUGUGAUACACACAAUGCUCGUAAUAAUGAGGUAGCACAGUCACGGGUAGCUCCAGGCGAGAGUAUAUGCUGAGACAACGGUCUCUAUAAAACUCUUCAGCCUUGGAACCCACUCAACGCAUCAGCACUAAGGCUACGUCACACAAGAGGGAGAGCGGAGAGAUGGAACGAUAGGGGUUCCAUGUGAAACUGUAAGACACUUUAUGUUGUUUUCGC